GGGGCAAUAGCUCAGUGGUAGAGCAUCUGUUGUGGACACAUGAGGUCCCAGGUUCAAUCCACAGUAACUCCA